rnacentral:rRNA from 1 species
GACGAACGCUGGCGGCGUGCUUAACACAUGCAAGUCGAACGGAAAGGCCCUGCUUUUGUGGGGUGCUCGAGUGGCGAACGGGUGAGUAACACGUGAGUAACCUGCCCUUGACUUUGGGAUAACUUCAGGAAACUGGGGCUAAUACCGGAUAGGAGCUCCUGCUGCAUGGUGGGGGUUGGAAAGUUUCGGCGGUUGGGGAUGGACUCGCGGCUUAUCAGCUUGUUGGUGGGGUAGUGGCUUACCAAGGCUUUGACGGGUAGCCGGCCUGAGAGGGUGACCGGCCACAUUGGGACUGAGAUACGGCCCAGACUCCUACGGGAGGCAGCAGUAGGGAAUAUUGCACAAUGGGCGGAAGCCUGAUGCAGCAACGCCGCGUGCGGGAUGACGGCCUUCGGGUUGUAAACCGCUUUCGCCUGUGACGAAGCGUGAGUGACGGUAAUGGGUAAAGAAGCACCGGCUAACUACGU